ensembl:lncRNA
UCAUGAAUUUGUUCCCCUUGUAGGUUGAAUUCAAAGUUUAUAUUCAAUUUGGUUAUUUUUGCUCUAAUUAACAGUUUUAAUAUUUUUGCUUGUUUCUGCAUUCUUGUUUCCUUUGUUAACUCGUCCUUGUACAUGGUAGAAAAAUAGUAACUGAGCUAUCCCCAGCCUUUUUAUUUUAAAAAACUGCAUUUAUGUACUUUUGUGAACAUGGGGGUGGGGCAGUCCUUAGGAAUUGGCUCUUCAACGUGGACUGGCAGACUUGGCAUCAAAGCACAGCUAAGCUCUGAGCCAUCAAUUUUUUUUUUUUUUUUCCCUCAUGACAGGGUUUCUUUGUAUAGCCCUGGCUGUCAUGGAACUUGCUCUGUGAACCAGGCUGGCCUUGAACUCUCAGAGAUGCAACUGCCUCUGCCUCCUGAGUGCUAGGAUUAAAGGCAUGUGCCGCCACCUCCUGAGCCAUUUUGGUGCCAUAUUUUUGAAGCAGGAUCUUAACUGUGUAGAACAGGCUGCCAUUGAAUGUAAGGUAGUAGUGAUUCUGUAUUAGCCUUGAAAGUACUGGGAUUACAGAUGCCAGCCAUCACGAUACCCUAAAUUUAAGAAUAUAUGCAUCUUUUGUGAUAGGUGACCUGAUUUGUGCGUGCGUGCGUAUACAUCUGUGUUUUUUUUUUUUUUUCUUUUGUUUGAGACAUGGCUUCUCUGUAUAACAGUCCUGGCUGUCGUGGAACUCACUCUGUAGACAGGCUUCCCUGAACUCACAGAGACCUUCCCUGCCUCUGCUUUCCCUCCUGAGUCCUGGCAUUAAAGGGUGUGGUACCACAUUUCUUUAUUUCUUUUUCCAAUUUUUGGGGGGUAGGGGGAGACCUGUAUUUUUAAAAAGGCAUUUCUGAUGUUAGGGUUUAUACAUUACAUUAGGUCUGUGCUUCAGGAAAUAUUUUUUUACCUUAACUUAUUAAUUAUUUGUGUUUGCAAAUUUGAAUUGGAAGGUGAGAGGACAACUUGAGUAGGCGUCUUUCACCUUGUGAAAGAUUUAAAAUUUUUAUGGGAAUGAGUGUUGUGCUUGUAUGUAUGUAUUUGCACUGUGUGCAUGCCUAGUGUACUCAUGUCAUAGGAGGUUGUUGAUUCUCUGGAACUGGAGUUAAAGAUGGUUGUGAGUCAUCAUUUGGGUAAUGGGAACCAAAGGCUAUUUUCUCUGAAAGCAGUAAGUACCUUAACUACUGAACCACCUCUUCAGCCACAAGAAUUAAAUGGUUGAUGUGUACCAGUAAUCAUAAUCCUUUUAAUUCAGAUUAUCAAGGUGGUUUUAAAAUAUAUGCUUUAUGUUUGUGUAUUUUUCUCUUUUGAGAUAGUUUCCUUAGUCCUUAGUUAUCAACCAUCAUGUCUACUUUUAUGAUUUAUUUUAAAGCAGCUUUCUUUUUUUAAAAAAAUAUUUAUUUUAUUUGGAUUGGUGUUUUCAGGCAAGUAUACCUGAGUAAGGGUAAGGGUGUCAGACUUGUAGUUGCAGACAGAUGUUAGCUGCCAGGUGGGUGGGUGCUGGAAAUUGAACACAGGUCCUCUGGAAUAGUACUCAGUGCUCUUAACCACUGAGCCAUCUCUCCAGCCCCUUAAAGCAGUUUUCUUAAGAAACGCUAAUUAAUGUCUUUGUUUACUUGUUUUCUUGGGACUUAGGCUGGACAGAGGUUACCAGGAAGAACCUUUUGCUUACCACAGUACACAAAUACCUCUCACUAUCCUAUCUUUCUAAACAUUCUCUAGAGUUCACUGUUCUUAGAUUUUAAUGUUUAAGUGUUCAAGGGAUUAAGAAGCAACAAAGUGUUCUUGACUUUUACUGUCAAAGGGCCAGCAUUGUAUGCUUAUAUUCCCUAAAGUUUAAUUUUUGGUCUCAAAGUACAUUUUAGAAUGUGUGAGAUAGGUAGGAAUUUGACUAAACUGAACUGGACCCUCAUCCCAUUUUGAAGGGUGACAAAAAUACUACAUACUACUACUUCCUCAAUUUUGGGUAGAUUUCAUCAGUGUUAAUAAUUUCACUCUGAUGUAAAGUGAGAUCAAAGACCCUUUUUUGGUGGUUUCAAAACCUAAACAUUUCUUGGACUGGUGUGUGACUUAAUCAUAAACGUACUACUAAGGCACUAUGAGGGAUUUCUCUUAGAAAUCUUUGAAACACUUUUUUUUUAAAAAACCAAGAUUUCUUAAUCAUUUUCUACCCCUUUAGCCCUAAAUCACUUUAUUGUUUACUUUUUAUGAUACUAAUUUGAACCGGGGACCUUGUUUGCUAGGGAGCCUUCUGCACUGUCCAGCAUCUCUUGCCCUGAGUAAAUUUAGUUUUCUCCUGUGUUAAGAUUUGACGUUGCUCAAAAACCCUCUUCUGUUAAGGUAGAUUACACUAGAGGAAGUUUAACAAUUUUAAGAUUAUUGCUAUGCUCUGUUUUCUUAUGAAGGUAUUUAGUAUCUACUUUAAUAGUAACUUUUAAACAGAUUCUUGCUAUAUCUUGAUUAUGCUUUACAAAAAUGAAUUUAGAUUUGAUAAACAGGGCACUUGCAAACAAUUCCUAGGAAGUUAGUUUGAUAGCUUAGUUUAAGUAUUAAACUAGGUUUUUUUUGUUUGCUUUUUUUUAAAUCUUAAAUUGCUACAAUUCCAUAUUAAGCUUUUAAAAAGUUUUAUGUGUUUGUAGAUCAGAGAAAACUUGUGUAAGUAAAUUCUCUUUUUCAUAGGAAUUCCUAUCAGCUUCCUUGUCAGCAAGCAUUUUUACCUGGUGAGCCAACUCACUGUCUCUUUUUGGUGGAGACAUAGUCUCCUAUAUCUAACCCAAGCCAUGAUCUUUCUGGUUCAACUCCCUGAGUCCUGAGAUGACAGUAACUUUCAAACAGUAGUUUUGCAUAUUUUUAUUUAUUUUUGUUAACAUAUGAGGGUCUCCCAUAUGUUAAGUGCUAUAGCACUUAGUUAUACCUCUUAAUAGGUUUUCUGCCUGUCCCCCAGUAAUGUUUCUCUACAGACUCAGUAAGCCAGAUCAAGCCAAAUUGGAAAAGUAUAACAUCAGGUAUAUUGAGCAAGGCAGCUAUCAAGCAGGUUCACGACGCCUGAGAAGUCAUACCCCCAAACUAAAGUGGAGAUUUUAUAGGUUAUAGGCAAGGGGUGAUGACAUGGCCACCAUAAGCUGGGUUUGUGUCCAAGUAUGGUCAAAGGCCAAGCACUUAGGCAGGCAGGAAUUUGAGCUGCUGGCAACUUCAGCGGAGGAAACUGUUAAUAGCUGCCAAGAAUGCAGAACUGGGCUUUUUGGCACCUUUCCUUUGUUAGGAGACUCUAUGCAGCAGGGUUUAGGACCAGGCUUGUAGAGCCCAGAGGCUCCAGCAGAACAGCUGUCUUAUUUUGUGAUUUUUGUAAUCAUAUAAAACCAAGACAAAUGAAAACCCAUCCUUAUUUCAGAAAGUAUUUGAGAUAUGAGUAUUUCCCAUAUUUAGUUAUGAGGAAUUUAUGUCAGUAACUUAAUGAGAAGUCCUGAUAAAUCAACUGCAUAUAUAAGAAUUAGUGUUAGUGUUGGAGAAAUGGCUUGGCAUUUAAGAGCCUGUAUCUUGGAGGGGACCUAGUGUGGUUUUCAGCACUUAUGCUUCUUGUAACUCCAGCUCCAGAAUAUCCAGUGCCCUCUUCUGGACUUGUACAGAUGUGCACACAAACACACACACACACACACACACACACAGACAUAGAAAGUUUUCAAAAUAAGUCUGUUAAUCAAAUAGUAUAGUUGAUAGUAAUUUGAAAUGAUGGCUAAGAAAUGUGGAUCUCCAGAUGGAAUGAAAGACCUAUACCAUAGACAUUGUUGAAUCAUUUACAUCCAGUCAGCUUGAAGUUUCAAAUGGACCUUACCACUGAGAAAUCAAGAUGGCAGCCCACUAUGGGGAAUUGAGGAAAAUGGAUUAAUGCAAGAAUGCUGUGAUAUUAUACAACCAACACAGGGUUCUUUUAUGUGGAUUCAGGAAAUGAACGAUUGUUGCCCAACACAAAUGGACAGUGGGAUUUACUUUCUAAAGACUUGUUACAUAUCAUCUACAAUUUAACAUCUGAAGAUGAUGCUACGUUUAUUCAAAUGGUAGUUUGUAUUCCUGGAAUUUCUUACAAUUUUGAUAUGAGUGACCUCAUGGAAUGUUAACUUCAAUAAAAAAUUUAAAACUUAAAGAUUUCUCAGUUUGGCCCUUUUUUAAUUUUUUUUUUUUAAAGUGGAAGCUUUCAUUCAGUGUUCAUUUCCCCUCAACAUUUUGACCUUUAUAGUUGCUUUUCAUUAAACUAUAUGGAAUAAAGCUGGUAAAAUGGAAUAAUGUACUGGAGAAUGUUUGGUUUGGUUGGGCUUUAUGUGUACAUGCAAAGCUGUGUCAAUGUGCCUGUGCUUAGUGGAAUGGCCCUUUGGUUAAAAAGCAAUUUGGUUGAUGCUUUCAAUUAUAAGGCGUAAAUGAAUUUCAUUAAAUUUGUUUGGGUCUUCUCAAGACAUCUUGCAUUUUAAUCAGUGGGUAACAGGAACCUUGAAAGUGUCAUAAGAUUACAAUGAAUUUACAAACCAAAGUACUUCUUGCCUAUACAGACUAAGAUCGAGUAUCUCAGUUUGUGUUUAUGAAAGUAGUCCCUUUGACUUAUUUUUUUAAAGUAUAAGUAAAACACCUUGAAGAUGCCCAUCUGAAUAUUUGAGUCAUACCGAGUUUGUGUUGUCUAAUGCUAGAUGUGUGUUUGUAGGGCCUUAAGGGUAUACACCAAAGGGCUUAAUCUUUAACAUUAGUAAAAUUUGCAUUUGAAAAAAAUCUUGCUUUCCUUCUGUAGAGUUGGGAGUUUAAAUAAAUCACACCAUGCUUUACAUUACCCAUGGUUGGAAUCAAAUGACAGGUUUCCAUUUAUUGAUCUCAGCAACAGUUUUGGUAACUAAAGGAAUAAUGGGGAUUUGUUUUGUUGAUCAAGUGACCAUUGAUUAUGUAUCCUCAGUAUAGAGAACAAAGAACAAAUGUAAAAUGUCUUAAAAUAUACAUCUAUGGUUAAUACACAUGCAGUGUUUGUUGAAGUAGUUGGUUGGUCUUUGUGUAAAUUGAAAAAUGAGUUUUGGAUUUUUAUUUGGAUGUAAAAAUAUCUUUAGAGUUGAAACUUGGUUAUGGAUUUUCCAUUUACUUAGAUGGAAAAGCAAUAUGGUUGCCUUUGUUUGUAAAUCUACAAUGGAUUAUCACAUUGAUAAGAAUGACUUGGUAUUGAC